GAUGAACGCUGGCGGCGUGCCUAAUACAUGCAAGUCGAGCGAACAGACGAGGCGCUUGCUCCUCUGACGUUAGCGGCGGACGGGUGAGUAACACGUGGAUAACCUACCUAUAAGACUGGGAUAACUUCGGGAAACCGGAGCUAACACCGGAUAAUAUAUUGAACCGCAUGGUUCAUUAGUGAAAGACGGUUUUGCUGUCACUUAUAGAUGGAUCCGCGCCGCAUUAGCUAGUUGGUAAGGUAACGGCUUACCAAGGCGACGAUGCGUAGCCGACCUGAGAGGGUGAUCGGCCACACUGGAACUGGACCACGGUCCAGACUCCUACGGGAGGCAGCAGUAGGGAAUCUUCCGCAAUAGGCGAAAGCCUGACGGAGCAACGCCGCGUGAGUGAUGAAGGUCUUCGGAUCGUAAAACUCUGUUAUUAGGGAAGAACAAAUGUGUAAGUAACUAUGCACGUCUUGACGGUACCUAAUCAGAAAGCCACGGCUAACUACGUG
rnacentral:rRNA from 1 species